AGGUUUUAAUGAUGAUUUAUCUUCUUACCUACAUUGUCUGAAAAUUGUGAUUAUUAUGUAGUCUGAAAAAUCU